rnacentral:tRNA from 1 species
GCCGGAGUGGCGGAAUGGCAGACGCGCUAGACUCAAAAUCUGGUGUCAGUGAUGGCGUGAGGGUUCGAGUCCCUCCUCCGGUA